rnacentral:lncRNA from 1 species
GGAUGAAAAACCUGUUACAAUCUCUGUGGAUGAUGUGAUUCGGGCAAACAUAGAUGUGGCAGAUCUUGGGAACUAAAGCCCUCAUUUAAGAAAGACGGGACGACGACUGCUGGUAACUAGGGGAGAGCAUUUGGUUUGGUUAACCGGUAACCGAACUGAAUAACUGAAGAAAUGAAACAACUAGAUGAAGGUAUAUUUAUUUAUUAUUUGAUUAUUUUUGCACUGCUCACCUUUAUAUUUAUUAAGAAUAUUUAGUGGUAUUUCCUUUUUUCAGCACUAGAGAAAAUGAACAUGGAUGCAAGUUCUGCAGCAGCUUCAGCGACUGGAACAAGUCAUCCACCGUAAGUAUUUAAUUUUGCUGCUGCUGCUGCUUUAGGAAGGUUUAAGGAUGAGAUAGUACAUGUACACACCAAGGUGAUCCUCUUCAAUUGUAGUUUCCGCAACUGCAUAGUACUUUCUGCAUCGCAGUUUAUAUAAAUUUGUGGUUUUCACUAUAUGCUUUGUUUUAAUAGAUCGUGGACAUAAAAAAUAGGGAUGAAAAACCUGUUACAAUCUCUGUGGAUGAUGUGAUUCGGGCAAACAUAGAUGUGGCAGAUCUUGGGAACUAAAGCCCUCAUUUAAGAAAGACAGGACGACGACUGCUGGUAACUAGGGGAGAGCAUUUGGUUUGGUUAACCGGUAACUGAACUGAAUAACCGAAGAAAUGAAACAACUAGAUGAAUGUAUAUUUAUUUAUUAUUUGAUUAUUUUUGCACUGCUCACCUUUAUAUUUAUUAAGAAUAUUUAGUGGUAUUUUCUUUUUUCAGCACUAGAGAAAAUGAACAUGGAUGCAAGUUCUGCAGCAGCUUCAGCGACUGGAACAAGUCAUCCACCGUAAGUAUUUAAUUUGUUUUUGUUUUUUCUGAUUACUUGUAAUCUGGAUACAAAUGAUUAUGUGAAGCUGUGAUAUAUUCUGUCUUUCUGACCCUUCAAACUACUUAUUCCUUGGCCACUGUUAGCACUUGCAGUUUGAAGCUAUAUGAUGCAGUAGAUUAGAUGGGUACUCUGAAAAAUAUAUAAGACUGUAUCAUUAGUUUGGUUAAUCAAUCUACACUUCACUGCUAUGUUUUCUCAGUUUUACACUUUUUAUUUUCUGUAUCUUUUUUUGUUUACUGUAAUUGUUAGAGGUCUUUGGGAGGUAAUUGUGCUGUACAUAUUAAGUUUGAGUUGGCAUUUCAAAAUUAUCUGCCCAGGCUGCAUAAGUUGUACAAUAAUUAUUUGAUCGAGCUUGCAGUUUGAAGCUGCAUGAUAUUGUUUGAACAAAGUAGAGGUACUUCUGGUAUAUGGUUCUCUAACCUUAUGCCUUGGGUCGUUUUAUUGUUUCUGUAUUGGUAGCCAUGUUAAUCCGUCCUGAGAAGGUCAUGUUCUUGUUUUGCUGCUGGAUAGCUUUCUCUCUUUCAAGUUGAGAAUAAGCAUAAUUGAGUAUCUGGCCAUGAGUUUGAACUUGCUUUUCUUUGGGAAUCAUUUGGAUUCAUUUUCUUUCCAUCAGAAAUAGCAUCCUGUUGCUGAGAGGCACUUGCAGUUGUAUAGUUCUGAACUAGUGAUUGAUCAUCGUCCACUUCAAUUCUAGAAAAUUCAGGAUGCUUGAUACUUUUUAAAUUCAGUUGUUAUUAAUUGUACAUGGACAGAAGAGCUUCUCUUUUUUGUUUACUGGAAAUGAUACAGAGUCGUGGAUUCUAUUUGUUUUACGGUUUUUCUAUGGUGUGCCCAUGGGCACACAAUAAGCACUAACUCCUAUGAUUUUGAUGCAUUUUUAUUGGUCAUCUAAUCAUAAAUAAGGAUGGCCCCCCUGCAUUUACACCAAAGUCCACCAACUAAAAUCCACCAAACUCAUCAAAUUUAGUGUAUAUAUAAUGUGUGCCCAUGGGCACACACUAGACAAACCCUGCACAAUAUUGUUGGCUAAGUUCAAUCUUCCCAUCCCUGCAAUUGUUCAGGCCAUUAGUGUUUUAAAAAGACUUGACAUGUUUCUUCGGAUAGUAUCAGUCAGGCACUCAGUCGCAUAACCAUGCACCAUCACUCCAUAAGUUGUAAAUGAUUUAAGUUAAGUUACUGUAUGAUCUGAGCUUGCCAUGUAGUUAUCGGUCCACCACUUAAAUACAUAUAUAUGUUAUUGUAUUCCUUUGUCAUUUUGCAGCAGCACCAGUCAGAGAGGAGCGCCAAUAGCUUGUAUGUCUCCAUCCAGUCAAAGACUCCAAGCAUUCAGCAAUCAGGGCACUUCUGCAGUCAGCCAUAAGCCAUUAGCAUUAGCAAUUAACACUUAAUAUUAACACUCAGCAAGAUACAAGACUGUGCAACUGUGAUGCCAAGAUGUAUUUAAACUUUCUGAUUCAGUAAUCGUAUUCAUGACUUGUAAA